rnacentral:ncRNA from 1 species
AAACUCGGUGUGAAAAAGAUAAACUUCCUAGUGUCUGCUAGACACUGCGUCAGUUUCCUAUUUUCACGUUGAGUUU